GACGAACGCUGGCGGCGUGCUUAACACAUGCAAGUCGAACGGAAAGGCCCUGCUUUUGUGGGGUGCUCGAGUGGCGAACGGGUGAGUAACACGUGAGUAACCUGCCCUUGACUUUGGGAUAACUUCAGGAAACUGGGGCUAAUACCGGAUAGGAGCUCCUGCUGCAUGGUGGGGGUUGGAAAGUUUCGGCGGUUGGGGAUGGACUCGCGGCUUAUCAGCUUGUUGGUGGGGUAGUGGCUUACCAAGGCUUUGACGGGUAGCCGGCCUGAGAGGGUGACCGGCCACAUUGCGACUGCGAUACGGCCCAGACGCCUACGGUAGGCAGCAGGCGGGAAUAUUGCACAAUGGGCGGAAGCCUGAUGCAGCAACGCCGCGUGCGGGAUGACGGCCUUCGGGUUGUAAACCUCUGUCGCCUGUGACGAAGCGUGAGUGACGGUAAUGGGUAAAGAAGCACCGGCUAACUACGUG
rnacentral:rRNA from 1 species